UACGUGGGGAGCAAGCGUUGUUCGGAUUUACUGGGCGUAAAGGGCGCGUAGGCGGCCAGCACACGUCAGUUGUGAAAUCUCCGAGCUUAACUCGGAAAGGUCAACUGAUACUGUGCGGCUAGAGUGCGGAAGGGGCAACUGGAAUUCUUGGUGUAGCGGUGAAAUGCGUAGAUAUCAAGAGGAACACCUGCGGCGAAGGCGGGUUGCUGGGCCGACACUGACGCUGAGGCGCGAAAGCCAGGGGAGCGAACGGG
rnacentral:rRNA from 1 species